UUUUUAAUUAAGUCUGUUAAAAAAGGGCUAAAUGUGGAGAAAAAUAAUGUUUUAGGCCCUUUAGGGAACCAAUGUGAACAAUAAAUGUUUAUGGACUCAAUAACAAAAAACUGUUAAAAUUCAGUGGUCAAAAUAUGUCUUUUUGCCUUUUCUAAAUGGUUUAUUGAUAAUAUCAGUCGGUGUUUCUCAUUCCAAUACCAUGUUUGGUAACCAUCAUAAUUGCGCAUGGAAUUCAUUUUCUGUUAUCUGAGCACCAAGCCCCUGAAAAUGCAAGAAAUGUUUCAGGAAAAUAUUUGCAUUGGAA
rnacentral:misc_RNA from 1 species